rnacentral:lncRNA from 1 species
AACUUGAAGUAAGCUUCUUCAAACUUCAUAAUUGGAGCUGUUCUACAUGAACGUCAACACCACCAUCAGAUCUGUCCUUAGAAGCUGCUAGUCCCACGCACCACCUCGUACUCUUAAUGUACACGCAACCAUAUUUCAAGAUGAAGACAUUAGAAGCCAUAUCAAACAUGAUCAUUUAAAAUAAAAAACAAUUCUAAAUUUUGGAGUGCACAAUACACAAUUUCACUCAAACAAAAUGGUAUAGAAAUGCCAUGUUAGUUUACAUACGCAAACAACAAAAAUAGUAUUAUGGAAUUAUAUGGCAUUGAAUUGCAGGAUGACGAUCUGUGUCAAGACUCGGUGUAUUUUAAACAGCAAUACAAUUAAACACAGAAUUC